GGAAGGAUCAUUACCGAGCGUGUACCCCCUUGUAAAAAAGGUGGGUUACCUCCCGUCCUUUGCUGGGCACCCCCCUUCUAGUUGGAUGGGGGUUGUUUUCAGACCCUUCUGCUUCGGCGGGGUAACCCGCCGGAACAACCUCAAAAUAUUCUCAAUUCAAAACCGUUCAGUCCGAGAACUUUUUUUUGAAAAGCGAAAAAACUUUCAACAACGGAUCUCUUGGUUCUGGCAUCGAUGAAGAACGCAGCGAAAUGCGAUAAGUAAUGUGAAUUGCAGAAUUCAGUGAAUCAUCGAAUCUUUGAACGCAUAUUGCGCCCCUUGGUAUUCCGGGGGGCACACCUGUUCGAGCGCCAUUUCAACCCUCAAGCAUAGCUUGGUGUUGGGUGAGGUCCUAGAAGGGACCCUCCCGUAACCCGUAGGCGGUCAUCAUCCGUACUCCCCUAGCGUAGCAGGCUCAUGGCACUCGCUAAAGGAUGGGGUGAGACCAUGCCUUUACAAACCAUUUCAAAAGGUUUGGCCUCGGAUCAGGUGGGGAUACCCGCUGAACUUAAGCAUAUCAAUAAGCGGAGGAAAAGAAACCAACAGGGAUUGCCCUAGUAACGGCGAGUGAAGCGGCAAUUGCUCAAAUUUGAAAUCUGGCUCCAUUCGGGGGUCCGAAUUGUAAUUUGUAGAGGAAGCUUCGGUGAGGGUAACUGGCUCAAAUCCCCUGGAACGGGAUGUCAUAGAGGGUGAGAACCCCGUCUGGUCAAGUACCCAAAAUCCAUGUGUUGCUCCUUCGACGAGUCGAGUUGUUUGGGAAUGCAGCUCAAAAUGGGUGGUAAAUUCCAUCUAAGGCUAAAUAUUGGCCAGAGACCGAUAGCGCACAAGUAGAGUGAUCGAAAGAUGAAAAGCACUUUGAAAAGAGAGUUAAAAAGCACGUGAAAUUGUUGAAAGGGAAGCGCUUGCGAUCAGAACCCCUUCUAUGGUUAUUCAACCGGUAAAUUUUUACCGGCUCAUUUUUCCAUAGAUAGGGCCAGCAUCGGUUUAAGUGAUCGGAUAAAGGCCCUAGGAAUGUGACCUUUCGGGGUGUUAUAGCCUUUGGGUUCAAUACGAUCCAUUUGGACCGAGGGAAGCGAUUUUUUUUUCCAGGAUGUUGGCAUAAUGGUUGCAAGCGGCCCGUCUUGAAACACGGACCAAGGAGUCUAACAUUCACGCGAGUGUUUGGGUGUAAAACCCCUACGCGAAAUGAAAGUGAACGGAGGUGAGAACCCUUUGGGUGCAUCAUCGACCGAUCCUGAUGUUUUCGGAAGGAUUUGAGUAAGAGCGUGACUGUUAGGACCCGAAAGAUGGUGAACUAUGCGUGAAUAGAAUGAAGCCAGAGGAAACUCUGGUGGAAGUUCGCAGCGGUUCUGACGUGCAAAUCGAUCGUCAAAUUUGCGUAUGGGGGCGAAAGACUAAUCGAACCAUCUAGUAGCUGGUUCCUGC
rnacentral:misc_RNA from 1 species